rfam:Nematostella vectensis strain CH2 x CH6 NEMVEscaffold_380_Cont25545, whole genome shotgun sequence.
GCCCGGUUAGCUCAGUCGGUAGAGCAUCAGACUUUUAAUCUGAGGGUCAAGGGUUCGAGCCCCUUAUCGGGCG